ACGGGUGAGUAAAGCCUAGGAAUCUGCCUGGUAGUGGGGGAUAACGUUCGGAAACGGACGCUAAUACCGCAUACGUCCUACGGGAGAAAGCAGGGGACCUUCGGGCCUUGCGCUAUCAGAUGAGCCUAGGUCGGAUUAGCUAGUUGGUGAGGUAAUGGCUCACCAAGGCGACGAUCCGUAACUGGUCUGAGAGGAUGAUCAGUCACACUGGAACUGAGACACGGUCCAGACUCCUACGGGAGGCAGCAGUGGGGAAUAUUGGACAAUGGGCGAAAGCCUGAUCCAGCCAUGCCGCGUGUGUGAAGAAGGUCUUCGGAUUGUAAAGCACUUUAAGUUGGGAGGAAGGGCAGUUACUUAAUACGCGAUUGUUUUGACGUUACCGACAGAAUAAGCACCGGCUAACUCUGUGCCAGCAGCCGCGGUAAUACAGAGGGUGCAAGCGUUAAUCGGAAUUACUGGGCGUAAAGCGCGCGUAGGUGGUUUGUUAAGUUGGAUGUGAAAUCCCCGGGCUCAACCUGGGAACUGCAUUCAAAACUGACUGACUAGAGUGUGGUAGAGGGUGGUGGAAUUUCCUGUGUAGCGGU
rnacentral:rRNA from 1 species